rnacentral:tRNA from 1 species
AUUUAGUUAGUUUAAGAAAAAUUUUGAUUUGUGGUAUCAAAGAUAUAAAGUUAUACUAAAUU